GACGAACCGUGCGAACGUUAUUCGGAAUCACUGGGCUUAAAGCGCGUGUAGGCGGGCCGCCGCGUCGGCUGCUGAAAUCCCCCGGCUCAACCGGGGAAGGGGCACCGAUACGGGCGGCCUGGAGGGGGGUAGGGGGGUCUGGAACUUCCGGUGGAGCGGUGAAAUGCGUUGAGAUCGGAAGGAACGCCCGUGGCGAAAGCGGGUCUCUGGACAGUUCCUGACACUGAGGCACGAAGGCCAGGGGAGCAAACGGG
rnacentral:rRNA from 1 species